rnacentral:sRNA from 1 species
CAGCAAAGUGUGGCGAAUAAGCCGAAAU